rnacentral:lncRNA from 1 species
UGUCAACCACCAUGCUACUUUCUGACUCUAUAAUUUUGACUACUAAGGGAACAAAACACUCACCCAAAAGCAUGUGUCAUCCGGCUGAUUCUCUAUAAUAUCCUGGGUGAAUCAGACAUGUUCCAGCAUUUCUGCUAAAUGUCAUCUCAGAAGAGGGGCAGUCAGGCAAAGGAAAGAGCUAAAGCAUUGACAUGAUGAGGAGGAGAGAAGAGAAAGAAUUCAGAACAUGAAACACGUGGCAGGACCCACAGGUUAAAUGGUCGUUGUUCCAGGAGGUCUUCCACACGCACCUGUGUAGGGCAUGGAGGGAUGAAGGAAGAGCAAGUCCCAUCCCCUGCUUAAGGAACUGAUGGUUUGGCGGGAGAGAAGGGCAAGAUGGUGAAAAUUUGUACAAUGCCACAGAUUAACGCUAACGACUCUGUAACAAAUGCUUCAUAAGGGAAUCGGAAUUGACUGCAGUCCUGGAACAUUGGAGGGCUGUACACAGGAGAGGAUAAAGAAUCUGGCUGUGAGGGUGGGACACAUAAGAAAAGCUCUUCAUCUCCCCCUCAGCCCCAUAGAUGGCUGCCCCGGGUGGGGAGUAAGGGGAAAAGGCUGCCCCUAGGUGGAAUGCUGGAAAGGGCUAGUGGGCCACAGCAGGACCUCUGUCCUAGAGCCCAACACAUAGUGUGCAUGCCCCCAGCCAUGGUCCAGAGAUUCUGAGCAUCAGCAUGACGUGAUAUCCCUUUCUGCCCGCAUGGAUGUCAUCAAGGGACUGGCUGGAAGGUAGCAGAAGCCCAGGAGCCUAGCACACAGAAGGAGAUAGUGACUCUGCCUCAUUUCUGUGUGGGGUUUCCCCCUCUUUUUCCCUCUUAAGAGGGCAAGUUGGACUUUGUGACUUGCUGCUCUGGGCUUACUCCAGGGACAAGAUAAGAAUCUUCCAUUUUUUAGAAAGCAGGCUCAUAGAAGAAAACAGCUGGAUUGUCACAAAAAAAUGGCAUCUAAACAAUGGAGGGAUCUGAAGUUGAAGGCAGGGUGAUUUCUGAGACCAGCGAAGGAUGUAGAGGUGGUGCUUCCACGUGACACCUCAAGAUGGUUAGGACCCCUGAGAGGGGCGGCGCAAGGAUGCUUGGAGACUGAUUCCAAACAUCAAGGUCAUGGCACCCGGAAAGAAGGACUUAUGAAGGUUGCCAGACGAUAGUGUACCCUGUGAGUGCUCAGGAGCCCUGCUUCCUGGCCUAGCAAUACCAUGUGGACUUGGACCAGGAGCAUCUCGGAGCUAACCACAACGGACUGAGACCAACCAGGGCACUUCCUAGAAUGUAUGGAUGUCUUGAUCUCCCCACCCCAUGCCCAUGACUCUUGUAAAACCCUGUAAAAGAGGAGAGGCCCAGUAAAAGCUGAUAUCUGUAUCUAAACAAUCUUGCCAAGGGUAUUCCAAGCCUAACUUAGUUUGAUUAGGGAAAAAAAAUAACACAAGAGCUUUUGCUCCUGAACGCUAAGGAACAGAUUCUGCUAUGUAGACAAAUAGAGCCUUGGAAGGAAAAAUGGAUCGUGAGAAUCUGGUGGGAGGUGGCGUUUUACAAGACUCACCAAGGAAAAAUUCUAUAGCCUGGUCCACUCUAGGGGAAAACCUACUACAUUUAAUUUCUUGGAGUUAAAAAUGUUGAAUCUCACCAAGUUUUUUAUAUAUAAAAACUUUUUUAAAUAGUUGUUUUACAUCUAACUAACAACAAUUGCUUUAUGAAAAGGUGACUUAUGAAACCAUAGGGUAUGGUAAAAGGAUACCAAAAACGAGAAUAAGAAGGAGGAGGAGAAGGAAGGGAAAGAAGAAGAGGAAGAGGAGGACGAAGAAAGAGAGGGCAGCAGAGUGUCCCUGGCUGUGACACUGGUUGGCAGUGAAGUUUUGUGUAAAUAAUUUCUGAGCCCCACUUUCUAGUUCUAUAAAAUAAAACAAUGGGGUUGUACUAAAUCUUUUCUUCCAACAAAAUUUUACGUAGAAGUCCAGGAUAUGCAACAGACAACAAUGGGGCUGCUGAGAUCAAGGAGAUGAUGUGUGUGUGUGUGUGUGUGUGUGUGUCUGUGAAUGCAAAGACAUUAGCUCUAUUUUGGGGCAAGGUGGAGAAGCUUUGUGUGCCCAGGGAACCUCUCUCUGGUUGAAUGUUCUCUCAGUCAGUGCCCAGAAGUAUCUGGAAGGCAUUGGGAGAGGAGAUCAGAGGCAUUUGGCUCAGGGAAGGGCCUGCAAGAGUGUUAGUAAUCCCCCAGCUGGCCCAGAGUAGAAAUGCAGGCAUGACAGAAAAAUGUCCAGACCACGCUGACAUCAACUGAGAUGUCCCCUCAGAGGAAAUCCAAAGUAUCUGACAUAUUUUUGACUGGUCUGCCAAUUUCAUUUCCCAGAGGGUAGAAGAGGCAACAGCAGGAUCUACUACUCUGGGCUUAACUCCAGCCAACAGAGUAAACCUGGUGGAAGCGAUGGGUCCUGAGAAUAAAUGAGGACAGCAUGAGUUUGUGGUAACCAACUGGGGAGGGCUCACUACAGUGAGAGACACUGUGCAGCCCCUGCUAGGGGUCAAGGGGCUUGAAAAAAUAAUCGGUACCAUUCCUGGAGGUUGAAUGGCUCUAGCAAGGCGGCCAAGCACUGAGUGCACAAUUUUACAAGGCCCUAAAGAGGAAGUAAGGGGGGAAUCAUAAGAAAACUGUCUGCUGAGCUCAGGUGUAAAAUGGCACAUCUGGAAGAGGGAAUGAGGGCAUGUGGCCCAGGAAGGAUUUGCAGGAGAAGUGUGAUGAUUAUAAAUAAAGCAAGUGAACGGUCAAAUAUGGGCACGGUCCUUGCCUGCUCUGACGGGGAGGUGAAGACGGAUGGAACAGGGAUAGAUACUGUGGCCCCCAAGUGAGUUCUGCCUUCUCCAUCAGAAGAGUGAAUUUUGGCCUGGAAACUCCGGCAUCGAGUGAGAAACAGCCUGAUGGGGAGGGAGCAGUGGGUGAGGUUAUGAGGCUGAGGACGGAGGCCUCACCUGCUGUGUCAUUCUGUGCUUCCAUCUCCUCCUACACAAAACAGAGGCAGUAAUUCCUAUCAGUAGUUCUCAUUGUGUGGGCCUCAUGAUGAUGAGCGUCAUCCCUGUAGCAGCAUCAGCAUCACCUGGGAACUUGUCACAAACGCGAGUUGUCAAGUCUUACCUCAGACCUGCUGAAUCAGAACAUCUGAGAGUGGGACCUGGGAAGCUGUUUAACAGGCCUAUCAAGAUUCUGACACCUGCUCAGGUUUGGAAGCCUGGUCUAUAUCAUGUGGUUGUCAGGAGGCUUAAUCAACGGCAGGUAUGGGAAACCCUUGCACACUGCAAGACAUCUUGAAACUAUUAGAUUUUAGUACAUGUGUUCAAAUGUCCUGGCUUGGACGAACUACGUCCCCAAAUCUUGCCCAGACUGCAGAUGAGAUCACCCAAGUGCUCUCAGCUCGCAAAGCACGUUUCAAAAAGAGCAAGUCGGACACUUUCUAGUCUCACCAGACAGAAAGGUUGCAGGAGGAAGUUAUAAGGAACAGUUGGAGUAGCUGGAAUAGUUCUCUUUCUCUCCAAUACUUCCCUCAAGCACCUUCCUCCUUUCAUUUACUCAGAGCAAUAAAUAUAAUUGACAGUGCACGGAGCUCCUACACGCAGGGAAGCAUAAAUGAUUUCUCCAGCUUUGGAGCACUAAUUUGUAACAUAGAUUAAAUUGGGCUUCAGACUGGGGAGGGACUGCACCUUUAAGAUUUGCCAGGUCAUUUAGGGAACUCACUCACUUUACACAUUAGUAUGGAUUAGAAUGUGUCAGUACCAAUAUGGGCAUUUCCCUGUUGUCACAUGAUGUUAGAGGAACAAUUAUUUCACGUCUGAGUAAAAGUCUUACUCGGAGGCUAAGUUAACGUAGCGUAUGGAACUGCGUGGGAACAGGGCUGGCACGGCUUGCGAACACAGGCAAUUGCCCAUUACAGUGCUGGUUAACAUAUUGAUUCCACUUCAUCUGCUUUACUGUAUAUGAGACGAUCCUUGUUUUGCUUAGA